rnacentral:rRNA from 1 species
AUUGAACGCUGGCGGCAGGCCUAACACAUGCAAGUCGAACGAGUGGCGGACGGGUGAGUAAUGUCUGGGAAACUGCCUGAUGGAGGGGGAUAAAUACUGGAAACGGUAGCUAAUACCGCAUACCAUCGGAUGUGCCCAGAUUGGAUUAGCUAGUAGGUGGGGUAAAGGCUCACAAAGGCGACGAUCCCUAGCUGGUCUGAGAGGAUGACCAGCCACACGGGAACUGAGACAAGGGCCAGACUCCUACGGGAGGCAGCAGUGGGGAAUAUUGGACAAUGGGCGCAAGCCUGAUGCAGCAAUGCCGCGUGAAUGAAGAAGGUCUUCGGGUUGUAAAGUACUUUCAGCGGAGAGGCGUUAUCCGCAGAGGAAGCAACGGCUAACUACGUGCCAGCAGCCGCGGUAAUUC